rnacentral:rRNA from 1 species
GAAUAUUGGACAAUGGGCGAAAGCCUGAUCCAGCGACGCCGCGUGGGUGAAGAAGGCCUGCGGGUUGUAAAGCCCUUUCGGUGGGGAAGAAAAGCCUCGACCUAACACGUCGGGGUAUUGACGUAACCUACGAAAGAAGCACCGGCUAACUCUGUUCCAGCAGCCGCGGUAAUACAGAGGGGGCGAGCGUUAAUCGGAAUUACUGGGCGGAAAGCGCGCGUAGGCGGUUUUGUAAGUCGGGUGUGAAAUCCCCAAGCUCAACUUGGGAACUGCAUUCGAGACUGCAUUGCUAGAGUAUGGGAGAGGGAAGUGGAAUUUCCGGUGUAGCGGUGAAAUGCGUAGAUAUCGGAAGGAACAUCAGUGGCGAAAGCGACUUCCUGGACCAAUACUGACGCUCAAGUGCGAAAGCGUGGGGAGCAAACAGG